rnacentral:rRNA from 1 species
CGGGGUGCAGCAGGCGCGAAAACUCUACAAUGCAGGCAACUGCGAUAGGGGAACAUCGAGUGAUCCUCAUAUUGGGGGUCUGUCCACUCGUCUAAAAAACGGGUGUUAGCAAGGGCCGGGCAAGACCGGUGCCAGCCGCCGCGGUAAUACCGGCGGCUCGAGUGGUGGCCGAUAUUAUUGAGUCUAAAGGGUCCGUAGCCGGCUUUGCAAGUCUCUCGGGAAAUCCAGCGGCUUAACCGUUGGUCGUCCGGGGGGUACUACAUUGCUUGGGACUGGGAGAGGUAGGAGGUACUCAGGGGGUAGGAGUGAAAUCCUGUAAUCCUUUGGGGACCACCGGUGGCGAAGGCGUCCUACCAGAACAGGUCCGACGGUGAGGGACGAAAGCUAGGGGCACGAACCGGAUUAGAUACCCGGGUAGUCCUAGCCGUAAACGAUGCUCGCUAGGUGUCACAACAGUCGUGAACUGUUGUGGUGCCGUAGGGAAGCCGUGAAGCGAGCCACUUGGGAAGUACGACCGCAAGGUUGAAACUUAAAGGAAUUGGCGGGGGAGCAC